UACGAAGGGGGCGAGCGUUGUUCGGAUUUACUGGGCGUAAAGGGCGCGUAGGCGGCCCUCCUUGUCGCGUGUGAAAGCCCCGGGCUCAACCUGGGAAUUGCGCGCGAAACGGGGGGGCUUGAGUUCGAGAGAGGAGCGUGGAAUUCCCAGUGUAGAGGUGAAAUUCGUAGAUAUUCGGAAGAACACCAGUGGCGAAGGCGACUAACUGGACACGUAUUGACGCUGAGGUACGAAAGCGUGGGGAGCAAACAGG
rnacentral:rRNA from 1 species